GAUGAACGCUGACAGAAUGCUUAACACAUGCAAGUCUUUGGCGAAGCUGUGCUUGCACAGCCUAGCCAAGGCGGACGGGUGAGUAACGCGUAAGGAACUUGCCCUGCAGUCAGGGAUAACAGACGGAAACGACUGAUAAGACCUGGUAAAGUCAGGCGGACUCAUGUCCAGCCUGAUGAAAAGUGAUGCUGCAGGAGAGCCUUGCGUCCUAUUAGCUUGUUGGUGGGGUAACGGCCCACCAAGGCAAUGAUAGGUAGCCGGCCUGAGAGGGUGGACGGCCACAAGGGGACUGAGGUACGGCCCUUACUCCUACGGGAGGCAGCAGUGGGGAAUAUUGGACAAUGGGGGCAACCCUGAUCCAGCAAUUCUGUGUGCACGAUGAAGGUUUUCGGAUUGUAAAGUGCUUUCAGCAGGGAAGAAAAAAAUGACGGUACCUGCAGAAGAAGCGACGGCUAAAUACGUGCCAGCAGCCGCGGUAAUACGUAUGUCGCAAGCGUUAUCCGGAAUUAUUGGGCAUAAAGGGCAUCUAGGCGGCCAGAUAAGUCUGGGGUGAAAACUUGCGGCCCAACCGCAAGCCUGCCCUGGAAACUAUGUGGCUAGAGUACUGGAGAGGUGGACGGAACUGCACGAGUAGAGGUGAAAUUCGUAGAUAUGUGCAGGAAUGCCGAUGAUGAAGAUAGUUCACUGGACGGUAACUGACGCUGAAGUGCGAAAGCUAGGGGAGCAAACAGG
rnacentral:rRNA from 1 species